AACCGAAAAAACCGAACCGAAACCGAACCGAUAUCCGGAUUGAACACCCCUAUUUUGAACCCUUUCGGAUAUUUAAUCAAUUUCGGUUCCGACUUGGUACUACUUUUUUGGAUUGGGUUCGGUUCGGUUUUUCGGAUUCGUAUUUUUUGAGCAGCUCUAGCUAUUUCGAUAAUAGUUUUUAUCUUUAGUGGUAGGAAAAGAAUAUCUGACUGGAAUUUUGCAUGGAAAAAAUUAUACUAAACAUUUUAAAUAUAAGUGAUAAGUUUACCAUAUUAAUCAAAUAAGUUAGUUUGAAUUAUAUGUAUACCUUAUUAUACAAUUACAUUGCAAUAUGGUUGCUUUUGAUAACGCAUAUAUUCACAAAUAUCAGAAGAAAACAAAACAGAAGUUUCGGGUCCACGGAGAGUGGUGGUUACUAUUUUCGUCAAAGGUUUCUAUUUUGGGGGAUUUCCCAAAAUGGAUAAAGUAAAAUUUAUAAUGGUGCACAGACCCCAUGGGUGUUAAUGCAACUUAGAUCAACGUUUACUUUCAUAUGUUUCUAAUAGAAGGAUCCGGAGGGACUUUCUGAGGCGAAACGAGAUAUGACUAAGCGGGCACGGAUCGGAUAUCCAGGGUUUCGAAGGUAUUUGUGAUUUGCUUUGUAUGUUACGGAUAUCUAAUUUUCUGAUUUGGUUUGCUUCGGAAAAAUACGGAUAUUCGGAAAACGGAUAAUCGGAAAAUAAAUAGAUAUUUGCGGAUAUUUACGAAUACUUACAGAUAUCUCAUAUGUUUUGAUUAAUGCAAAUAAUCUUAAAAUUUUGAUAUAAAUUUGUUUUGUAAAAUUAUUUUUUGCAUGAUAUGUAAGAUAAAAAUUAAAAUAAAUAUUGAAUCUACAUAUUUUACAAAUUUUUUAAACUUAGUUAGCAAUUAUAAUAUGCCAAAAAUUAAGAAAAAAUUAUAAUUCUCAUAAAUUUAUUCAUUUCCUUUUAUGAAAUAUUUUUAUAUAAGUAAUAAUGUGAAUAGAAUUUGUCAAAUCAUAUGUUAGAAUAACAAUUAUAUAAUUUUAUACAUUUAAAACUUUAAAUAUAGUCAAGAUAUACAUAUAUUUAUAUAUUACCGGAUCGGAUCGGAUAUCCGCUUCCCAAAAUUUUAAUAUUUGUGAUUUGCUUCGAUUUUAACGGAUAUUGAUUUUUAGUAUUUGCUUUGCUUCGAAGGUUUACGGAUAUCCGGAAUUUUUAAAUCGAAUCGAAACGAAUAACGAAUCAAAUCAAAUUUAACGGAUAAAAUGUCCAGCCCUAGAUAUGACGAGUUUGAAAGAUGCACUAAAGGAAACAUUUUCCCGCCAAAUGAGGAUAUUUUAGUUAGGCUUUUCGACUAUUAAUGUGAUCAAAGCCCAAUAUAUCAAACUUCAAAUUGCGCCAAAAUUUUAUAAUCAUUUAAUUAAUCAAUAAUUUAAUAACUAUAUUUAUUACUGUUGGAAAUACAAUAUUUCAUGUGAUAUUAUUUGAAUUUUGUAGAUUUAAUUCGGCGUAAGGCACACAUUUUAACCUAAUUAUCCAGCUAUAGAACCCAACAUGUAAUUCACUGAAUUUAUUAUGACAUAAUUCCAAAUCUAGCAUGAAAUUGAAUCUUGUCCAACAAAACUAAUGUUUAGUUUGGAUUUCAUUAACAGAUGUUACAUCCACAUAAUUUUCAAAUUUGACUAGAAAUUUUUACAUUAGAUAAAAAAUAAAAUAAACUCAAAUUCUAAACUUUAUUCAAAACAUACAUGUCCUUGAUUUUUUUCAGUUAACUAGACAGGGUAUAUAUAUGCCACAUUAACUUAUUCAAUAGGAAUCUGUUUGUCCAAAAGUUUUAUCUCUUUGUGUUGAUCACCUUAUAGUUGAUCGAAGUUAUGUAAUAUCUUUUUUAUUCGUAAGUAAUAUAAUAGUUUAACAUGUACUUUAACUAAUGAGAUCAUUACAUAGUUAGAGACUUAGAGCCUAACCUCUUUUCGAUAUUUCUUGUAGGUGAAGUACGCUUGCAGAGCUUUUUGGAUCUUUUUUUGCAUUCUCUUCACAAUUCUCAUUUUCAGCAUAGUGGACUGUGGACCCUGCAUGCUUAACUUUAUCUCCGCUCGGUUGUCAUUGCUCAUUUCCGUUCAUCCUCUCUGCUCUAUUUCGAUAUAAACUUCGUAUUUAGUUGUAGGAAAAGGUAUAAUUAACAGUUUACAUUUAUGUAACUAUCUUUUCCAUAUUUAAUCGAAAACAUUAGUUUGAGAAACACACCUUCACAAAUAUCAAAAGAACGGAAAAGGAGAAAUAAUUGAUAUGUGGCCUACUCGGACAAGUGACCACUAAAUAACUAUCGUCGCUUAAUUUUUUUCUUUCGAAUAGUUAUAAUAUUUUUUUAUUGAUUUAACUAGAACGUUUGCGUAAAACAAAUAAAAGAACAAUUUAGUGGUAUAACUAGAAAGGUAAGGACCACAUCCACCACGUCUUGUUUCCAAGCUAAAGUUAAAUAUAUAUAGUAUUACUUAACGAUUACAAGUUCAUGUAUGAGUUGUUAAAUAUAGUAUCCAAAUAAAGCAAACUACUAUUACGAUAUGACUAUUUUGUUUAGGAAGGAGAAUAUUCAAAAGCAUGCGAAACUAUAAUAUCUAAGAUCACUAAAUGAAUUUAACAUUGUAUAUUUUAAACAAUAAAUAUAUAAAGUCUAAUUAAAGUAUUGAUUAAAUCAUGAAAAUGGGUUUCAUAAUUAUAUGAUUUGCUAAUCAGAAUCGAAAUGUUGCAUCGAUAGUUUUUUUUUGUAUUUAUGUUUUGUCUUCAAAUUACACUUGUCAAAACCUGUUAAACAAAGAUUCAAAAAAAAAGACCUGCAAAAAAAACAAGUAAUGAAUCCAACAAAUAGACACAAAUGUUAAAGAGAGUGGAGGACCGCAGGGUGGUUGCCACUUUGGUCAAAGGUUUCUAUUUUGGGAAUUUCCAAAAACGGAUAAGAAAAUAUUAUAUCAUCCGACGACAGUCGCAAGUGAUACUCGAUGCCAGGUAAAAUCUUUGUUCGUAUAUAUGAAGAACUUCUACUUUGCAGUUUCCUUGUGAGCUUUCUUCCGGAGAAAAAUUAAAAAUAUCUUUUUCUUUUCGUUGUGUAAUCUUCAUCGCAUUACUUUAACAAAAAAAAAAAUCGUCAUCGCAUUUUGUCAAGAUCGGUGGUGAAGUCUAACACAGGUGCAUUAUGGUGUUACAAGAACAACAUUAACAGACGUUAGAAGCAGUUGAAGAAGAUGAAGAAGAUGAAAGAGAGAGGACAAUCAGAUCCCCAAAAACUUGGCGAUUUCAAAGCUCUCACCUCAUGGCCAUCUAACCCAUGGCAGUUCCAAGGCACCAAUACUAUCAUCGUCGCAGCGUUCACAAUGGCAACCGCACUUUUACUACUCUCUCUCUGUGGAGGAGUUUCAGCCGCCACUCCAGUCUUGACCGUUCAUAGUUCGGACGGAGAUGUUAUAGACUGUGUUAAGAAAAUGGACCAACCAUCCCUCACGAACCCCCUCCUGAAAAAUCACUCCUUCCAGGAUUACCCCAGCGGCAUGACGAAAACAGAAGAAGGAGGAUUUGGCUGGCAAGUCUGGCAUCGCAAUGGAACAGCGUGCCCUCAUGGAACCGUUCCUGUACAAAGAGUUGAAGCUGAAGCUGAACUUUCACAGGGGAAGUACGGCCCCCUGAUUCCCGAUGCCGCAGAAAGAGCCACAAAAGGACAUCAGGCGAGUUUUUUUUUUCAUUAGUUCAACAUAUAUUAACUAUUCCCAACAUGAAUCUGAUCGUUUUUUGGUGAAAAUAGUACGCUGUAGGGUUCGUGGAAGCAGAUCUACCAAUCUAUGGGACGAGAGCCACGCUGAACGUCUGGAACCCCGUGGUGGAGUCAGGGGACGACUUCAGUUUGGCCCAAAUCUGGGUCACGUCCGGUAAUUACAAAAACAACGACCUCAACACGAUUGAGACGGGUUGGCAGGUGUACCCGAACAAAUAUGGCGAUCGACAAGCUAGACUGUUCACAUAUUGGACGAUAGAUGCCUAUAUUAGCAGCGGGUGUUACAACCACUAUUGCAAAGGGUUCGUACACGUCAACAGGCAUGUCGUCCUAGGAGGAGCAAUCAUCGGGACUUCGACAUUUGGGGGAGACCAGUUCGAUAUAACCUUGCAGAUUUGGAAGGAUCCUCUUUCAGGCCAUUGGUGGUUGGGGAUGGGCCUGACUGUUGUCCCGAUCGGUUACUGGCCCGUCGAACUAUUCACGACACUGUCGGCUCACGCCUCCAAAGUACAGUGGGGCGGGGAAGUUUUAUAUAUGAACAGCACCGGAUUGAGCAACAUUACCCAAAUGGGUUCCGGAGCAUUUCCAGGCAAAGGAUUCAGGAAAGCAGCAUAUGUCUGCAACAUGCAGAUUGCCGAGAAGAACCGGUCCCUUCUGCCGCCUCUAGACUUUCAGUUAGGAGCGACGCAGCCCGACUCGUACACGGCUGCGAAGACGCAUACUAGAGGGCCUAGUGGCUGCGGAGACCAUUUUUACUACGGAGGGCCUGGGCCACUACGAUCAUCCUCCUUUCGGAGUGAUCCGUUAGCUAUUCUAUUUUUGUUUUUGGGCGUUUAUGUUGUUGUCUAGUUGUAGCACAAGUCAUAUAAUAUAUGUGUGUACUACUUUAAUCGUUUUGUGUGUGUGUGUGUGUGUGUCUGUGUUGUAAAAGAUUAGUUCGUUGAUUAAUUAAAUAUAUAUAUAUAUAUAUAUAUAUAUAUCUGUAAGCAUAAAUGAGAAAAGAUUAGUUUGAAAUGGUGUAUGGAGACCUCUGAUCUUGGGAUUGAUCUUCUCUGUAAGAAAUGUAAAGACUUGAAGUCUCUCUCUCAUGUUUCGUCUCAGAGCUUCUCUCUUUACUCUGUUUUAGUUAUUCGAUUGGCAUAAGUUGAAAACUUUGAUACGUAUGGGUGUAAAGUUUUUCUAUCUUGGCUGUGAUUUGGUUCAGAUCACCAAUGAUUCUGUCCGCUCUAUUGCUUUACUGCCAAAGCUCGAGGUUUUUAGACAUGGUAAGCUGCCCCUUGAUAGAUGAUGCUUGGUUACAGUAUCUUGAGAAAUGGCUCUCCUUCACUACAGGUACUAUUUUGAAGCUUUAAUCAAUUUAAGAUUGCCGGGACAGAAUAGCCUAGUGGUAACACUAGAGUGAACUGGAUCCCAAGGCGCCUGGGUUCGAGUCCUCUAGGAUUCCAGAGACCGCCCGUGACAAAAAAAAAAAAAAAAAAAAAAAAAAAUCAAUUUAAGAUUAUUUAUUAACUGGUAAGAACUAUAAACAGGAGAUUUGAUGUCACAAGGUGUGAUCGCAUGAGUUCGUCCAGCUUAAUCUCCAUACUCAAAGGCCAUCCUGUCCGAUCUUCAACACCUUAAAGCUAGUCACUGUAUAUCCGAAAUAUCUGUGACAACAUCAAACCUUUGAAGCAUCUCAAGACUCUAUGGAUCGAUGGAGCUCGCGUCUCUGAUUCCUCUCUUUUAACCUUAACCUCUAGCUGUAGAGCCUUGCCAGAGCUCGGAGUGAGCAGAUGUGUAGGUGUGACUGACGGUGGGAUGGGACUAGCACGCAACUGCUCCAACCUGAAAGCCCUAAACCUAGCAUGCAGCCAUCUCUGCUGUUGUUCAGUCUUGUCUGAACGUGGAUGUUACUCCAAGCGUCUUUGAGAGCUCUAUCUUACUGACUGUGAUGGCGUUAAUGAUUAGAGGUAAAGAGAAGAUACAUGUCAAAUGAAACUCUAAAUGUGUUUCUUGAUCUUAUCAGUUAUGGUAUUUUUUUCUUUGGCCACAGGGCUUGAGUAAUGAGUAUAUCUCAAAAUGUUCGCAUCUUCUAAGAUUGAAACUUGGCCUCUGCGCAAAUAUCUCAGACAAAGGGAUCUUUCAUAUCGGCUCCAAAUGUUCGAAGCUUCUAGAACUUGAUCUAUACCGCUGUGCUGGUUUUGGAGAUGACGGUUUAGCAGCUAUAUCAAGAGGUUGCAAGAGCUUGAACCGGCUCUCAUUCUAUCCUACUGCGGUGAACUAAGAGACGCUGGGGUUGAAAAAAUACAUCUAAGUCACCUUGAACUGCGAGGGAUAAAGAAUAUAACUGGUACUGGUCUUGCUGCAAUUACUCGCGGCUGCAAGAAACUAGCUUACUUGGACUCAAGCUAUGUGAGAAUAUCGAUGACUCAGGCUUCUGGGCGGUUGCGUACUUGUCAAGAAACCUAAGACAGGUAAAAACGAAAAGCAUUGGUGUGCUAAACUGAUUCGCUUUGGUUAAUGGAAACAUGUUUGAUUCUUUGUGUUUGUGUUUGGUUGGUGUGCUAAACUGAUUUUUCGGACUCUUCUCCGCCGUUAUCUCCCGUGGAGAUCUUUUCCCGGCCGCUCUCAUCCCCGAUGGACAAUGAAGAUGACGAUGUGCUGUCAUCGUCGACUGAGUCUUCUCCUUCGCCGGAGGAAUCAUCGGUGCGACGGCAGAAGAUGAGGAGUCCCGGAUUAGAUUAGUGAAACUGUGAAAUCUUUUUACUAUUCUUGGGAUCCGUGUAAUAUCUCUCCGUUAACUUUACUUUUACCUUUGACGGUGUUUUUAAUUGCACGUUGACUUAACGCCCUCAAUUUAUAGAUGUCCUUUAAUCUCGCUGCAGGUGAGCCUUUCUGUUUCUUAGAGCUUCUUCGUUUUAAACCUUUAACUUUUAGUCAAAAACUAUUUUCGUUGAUCAAGUCAUUUCGGUUUUGUCAAAAAUCAAUUGUUUAGUAGAAUUAGUUAUAUUUGACUGUUAACUUUUAACGAAAUCAAAAUGGUUUAGUCAAUAAAAAUAUAAUUUUUUGUUUCAGUUUUAAAAUUGAAGAUUAAAAUUGCUUAAUUAAAAAUAUCUUAAUUAAAAAUGGUUGUUUUUCUUUUUUUUUUAACAUGAAAAUUGUAGUUUUUAAUAUCGAUUAGAAUGACUAACUCAAUAAAAUAUGCUUAAAUAAACUUAGAUAUAAUAUUUUAAAAAUGAAUAAAAAACUAAAAAUUGUUUAACAAAAAAAAAAUUAAUUAAAAAUACAAUUAUAAUGUAAAUUCAGAUAUAACAAAAAAUAAUUAAAUGCUUAUGUUUUAAACAAUUUUAAGAAUAAAAACAUAAAAGUUAAAGGUGAAAUCUUAAACAUGAUAUUGUUAGAAUUAUGAUCAUAUAUGCUCGAUAGAAGAUGAAAUAAGUGAGAAAGAAUGAAUGGCAAGUGCGUGAAAGGGAUCUCUGAUGGCUGAUCUAUAGAAAUAGUUGUCGUUGUUAGCCGAAGAUCUUUUUCACGCACUCGCCUUCGUACUUUCUCACUUGCCUCAUCUUCUAAUUAUAAUUGUAUUUUUAAUUAAGUUUUUAAAAUAUUUUAGAUUUUUAUUUAUUUUUAAAAUAUUAUAUCUAAGCUUAUUUGAAUAUAUUUUACUAAGCUAGUGAAUUGAUAUGAAAACAACAAUUUUUAAUUAAGAUAUUUUUUAAGUAAAUAAUUCUAAUCCUUAACUUUAAAAUUGGAACAAAAAUCUCACAUUUGCAUUGAUCAAACCAUUUUGACCUCAUUAAAAAUCUACCGAUUCGUGUUUGACUAGAAGUUGAAAGUCAAAAUAGUGUGUUUGUGAAUUGGACAUUUUUUUUUGUUUAUUUUCUAAAUUUGAAGGUUAUUUUGUCAAUUUUCUUUUUUUUUUUUUACCUUUUAAGCUUUAAUUAAAGGAAAAUGAAAAACCGACCUUCGUUUAUCCAUUGCACUUUAGUUUGCAAAAAAAAAAUGACUAGGAUAGCACUAAAAUUUUUUUUGUUACAAAUAUAGCUUCUAAGAAUAAAAAUGACUAAAAUAACACUUAAUAUUUUAUCAAAAGAGAUAAAUAUACACUUAUAUUCCAAUAGUAAAUUAAUUUAGACAUUAGAGUUUAAAGUUAAGAGGUGAGAUUUAGGAUUUACGAUUUAGGGUUUAGGGUUUAGAGUUUAGAGUUUAGGGGGUUUAGAGUUGGGGAGUGGGGUUUAGAGGAUAAGAUUUCAAAUUUUGAAAAAUAAAAAAAUUUAAAUUUUUCAAAAGAUAAAAUAUUAUUUUGUUCAUUUUAAAAGUGCUAUUUUGGAGAUUUGCCACGAAAAAAAUGUUUCAGUUUAUAUAUCAGAAGAUAAAUAAUUCAAUUAAGAAAAGAAACUGCAACCGAACCUCACCGUUUAUCCACAAAUCACUUUUGAUCUUCUUUGCAUUUUUGAACUUUCGAUUUCGCAUCAGAAAAAAUAUGAAAGGUUCAGUGAUUGGUAACUCUCAAGCGAAGAUCUGCAGAUCAGAAUUAACACGCAGGGAGCUCGGGUUUAGAUUUGGAUCCGACGUAAUCUCCGGUGAAUCGAUAAAUAGGGUUAGCUCGAAAUGGAUCUCCGAGAUCCGUCAAAUGCGAAGCCAUCGUCUCCGAUCAAGCUCCGUUUCUGAAACCCUCUCCACACUCUAGAUCACUUGAGAUGGUGAAGUUUCAGACUGCAACAACGUGAAAAAUGCUUUGAAGGGAGUGGAGUUUUUGAGAAAGAAGCUGCAGGCAAAUAUGAAUGGUCAGUAGGGUACUUAGCUGUGGCGGAGAUUGUUAAGAAGAUUGCUUGUCGUUUGUAGUUGAUGAUGUUCCUGUUUUUGAUGGGAAGACUCCUAUGGAGGUUUCUGCGAGAGCUUCAAGUCUGCUUUCUCAGACUAACAUGGGUAACACAAUCACGGUAUUGUUUUACACUUUCUGAUUUUACCUCAUGUGUGUUUACAGGGAAUCACAUUUGGGGUAUUGUUUUACACUUUCUGAUGCUCCUGCCAGCCUCAUUCCAAUUCUUUCUUCUCAGACGGUGGACUUGGUACUCGUCUCUUCUCACCUCCCAUGCAGACCGUGUCCUCUCCGUUGCUUCAUCAGCAUUCAGCGGAAUUGGUGUGUGCUACCUCUCUUACACCAAGCUAACAUCCUCAGCCUUCUGAGUUAACAGCUGGAUUCUACAGAUCUUAUGGUCAUGACAGGUUCGAUGCUUUCACAGUCUUUGUUCGGAACAUGAACCAGGUCGAGCUGUCCUCAUAUGAUCAAGCAGUAGAGGAUGAGGCUCAGACAGUGAGCUUAGGUUCAGGCACUGGUGCACAUAGUUUGCAAACCCUUGAUGAUGAGUAUUCAUGUUCGUACGUAAAAAACAAACAAAGUCUCUUGUUAUUUAGCAUCCUCAUGUUUGUAGGUAAUGCUCUAAAAUCAACUUCAAAAACCUCUUUCCAAUCUUUUUCUAUCUCCUUACUUAUACAGGAAGCAGAAAUCUGAUGAAAUAAUCUGGGAAUUUUUUGACUUUGGAAUGUUUCUUCAGAUGUCCUGAGCUCCCUAUGACCCUUUUUGCCUUCCAAUACCAUUGAAUCCUCUCCUGUUAUUGUUUACACCCUUGUCAAUAACAUCUUCACAGUUUUUCUCCAGCCCAAAAUUUCCAGAGCUCCCCACAACUGCUCCCACUUGAGCAUAUUGAUUCCUAUCCAUCUUCAGAUUCGGGUUUUCAGCAGAAAGAUCAACCACAUAGACUUGCUUUCUGGUUAGAGAAUCUUCUCUUGCAUCUUCAUUAUCAUUGGUAACUAACUCUUCAGUUUUUAUAUAGAACACUGCGGUUUCCAGCAUUGUACCUUUCCCCACGCUCGUUCCUCUUCACACCAACCUUUACAAAUGAGUAGUUUGUUGAUACAUUCGAUUGGAUCAUUUCAACCCUUCAGAUCGGAAGUGACUUAAAUCUCUGUGUUUCAGAAAUUGAAAUUGAAUUUGUGUGUGUUUGAUUUAAAUUUUGUUGGUGAGAUCUUAUUAAUAAAAUUGACAAAUCUGUAAUA